rnacentral:sRNA from 1 species
CACCAGGCACACAUGUGGCACACAGACAUAGUAUAUGCAGGCAAAACACUGGGACAUAUUAACACCUCCCCCCAAAAUCCAAUUCAAAAACACAAAUGCAAAGCUGGGCAUGAUACACUUGGCAGAGGAAGUAGGACCUUCAGUUGACUCAAAACACAAACCAUCAACACUUGAAGUACAAAUAUAGUGAUCCAUCUCCUAUGGUGCAAUCUGAACACUACUUAGCUCAGACUCAGCCUUAGUAAGCUGUAACUAUAGACAUUGCAACUUAAAAGUUUUUGCUUUACACAUCUAAAUUGUAACUGAAGUUUAAUCAUUCUACUUUAGACUUGGCACGUUAUUUUUUAAUCCUUGCAUUAUUCAAAUGCUCAUUUCUCUGCUCCAAUAUCUGGUUGCGAUCAGGAUGUGGCACUGUUAUUCCAGUUAUCUCCUGUCUCAGUGUUGUAAAAACACAACUCUAUUUAUUUCCUACUUUGGAGAGAAAGAGAGAGCACAAGAGCAGCUAAUGAUGGAGCAGAGGUGAGAACAGGGCUGGACUUCCAAGUCCAGCAAGGAUUGGGAUAGAGAGGAGAGAUCUGGCCAUGAGGUGAGGGACCAGUAUGAGAAAAGGAAUGAAGCAGAGAGCCAGAUCAAUACUAAAAUGCAAGGGUCUAAGAGGUGUUGGCUCAGAAGCAGAUCUAUUAGUUUGGAGGAUUAGAAGAGAUUAACACUUGCUCAGUUGUUGUGU